GUGUCAGCCGCCGCGGUAAUACAGAGGUCUCAAGCGUUGUUCGGAUUCAUUGGGCGUAAAGGGCGCGUAGGCGGUCGUGACAAGUCACUUGUGAAAUCUCCGGGCUUAACUCGGAACGGUCAAGUGAUACUGUCGGACUAGAGUACAGAAGGGGCAACUGGAAUUCUCGGUGUAGCGGUGAAAUGCGUAGAUAUCGAGAGGAACACCUGCGGCGAAGGCGGGUUGCUGGGCCGACACUGACGCUGAUGCGCGAAAGCCAGGGGAGCGAAAGGGAUUAGAAACCCCCGUAGUCC
rnacentral:rRNA from 1 species